GAUGAACGCUGGCGGCGUGCCUAAUACAUGCAAGUCGAGCGAAUGGAUUAAGAGCUUGCUCUUAUGAAGUUAGCGGCGGACGGGUGAGUAACACGUGGGUAACCUGCCCAUAAGACUGGGAUAACUCCGGGCAACCGGGGCUAAUACCGGAUAACAUUUUGAACCGCAUGGUUCGAAAUUGAAAGUCGGCUUCGGCUGGCACUUAUGGAUGGACCCGCGUCGCAUUAGCUAGUUGGUGAGGUAACGGCCCACCAAGGCAACGAUGCGUAGCCGACCUGGGAGGGUGAUCGGCCACACUGGGACUGAGACACGGCCCAGACUCCUACGGGAGGCAGCAGUAGGGGAUCUUCCGCAAUGGACGAAAGUCUGACGGAGCAACGCCGCGUGAGUGAUGAAGGCUUUCGGGUCGUAAAACUCUGUUGUUAGGGAAGAACAAGUGCUAGUUGAAUAAGCUGGCACCUUGACGGUACCAAACCAGAAAGCCAUGGCUAACUACGUGCCAGCAGCCGCCGCCG
rnacentral:rRNA from 1 species